AUUGAACGCUGGCGGCAGGCCUAACACAUGCAAGUCGAGCGGAUGAGAGGGGCUUGCUCCUCGAUUCAGCGGCGGACGGGUGAGUAAUGCCUAGGAAUCUGCCUAGUAGUGGGGGACAACGUUUCGAAAGGAACGCUAAUACCGCAUACGUCCUACGGGAGAAAGUGGGGGAUCUUCGGACCUCACGCCAUUAGAUGAGCCUAGGUCGGAUUAGCUAGUUGGUAGGGUAACGGCCUACCAAGGCGACGAUCCGUAACUGGUCUGAGAGGAUGAUCAGUCACACUGGAACUGAGACACGGUCCAGACUCCUACGGGAGGCAGCAGUGGGGAAUACUGGACAAUGGGCGAAAGCCUGAUCCAGCCAUGCCGCGUGUGUGAAGAAGGCCCUCGGGUCGUAAAGCACUUUAAGUUGGGAGGAAGGGCUUACAGCGAAUACCUGUGAGUUUUGACGUUACCGACAGAAUAAGCACCGGCUAACUUCGUGCCAGCCGCCGCGGUAA
rnacentral:rRNA from 1 species